GCUUAUCUCCUGGUAUGAGAAAAGAGGCAAAAAUCAAAUGUGUGCGAAGAUUAUUAACAUGGCCACAUUAUUAUACUGGAUGAGCAGGGAGAUUACUCCUCAAGCAGAGAGGUUAAAAUAAGUAUUUGCCAUCAACUGAGGAGAUCCUGACCCAGAGACUUAAUCCCUACCACCUGCAGAAGCUCUGUGCUGAAGCUGACCCUG
rnacentral:misc_RNA from 1 species